GACGAACGCUGGCGGCGUGCUUAACACAUGCAAGUCGAACGAAGUGGCGAACGGGUGAGUAACGCGUAAUCAACCUGCCUUUCAGAGGGGGACAACAGUUGGAAAAGACCGCUUAUACCGAACACUGACGGAGGGGAUUGCGUCUGCUUAGCUAGUUGGAGGGGUAACGGCCCACCAAGGCGAUAGUUAGUCGCCGGUUUGAGAGGAGGAACUGCCGCAGUGGGACUGGAACACGGCCCAGACUCCUACGGGAGGCAGCAGUGGGGAAUAUGCCGAAAUGGACGAAAGUCUGGCGGAGCAACGCCGCGUGAGUGAUGACGGCCUUCGGGUUGGAAAGCUCUGUUAAUCGGGACGCGGUACCGGAAUAGAAAGCCACGGCUAACUACGUGCCAGCAGCCGCGGUAAUAC
rnacentral:rRNA from 1 species